GAUAAGUCAAUAUGAUUGGAUUCUGAAAAGGAGUCCAUAACCAAGGUCUCUAGGCAGAUGAGAGCCUCCCCAACAUAGGAAUCUCUUCAAAGAUUUCCUGCUUAGCUCUGGGAAAUGGCUCGGCAUCCACAUUGAUGCUUAACUUUAAUUUCACUCCAUCAAGAAAGGGACAGGAGGGGCUAGAAAUCCAGAUUCUUCAUUUGGCUUCCACUGAUAACCAAACUGAAGAAUGCUUCUCAUUGAUGCUGGUGGAUCUAUAAAAAUCUGGAAAGCAGAUCUCACAAUACUCAGGGAAGGGAAGUGUGGAGUACUCCAGAGAACGUCAUACUAAGUUGAGCUCCUCUGUCAUCCGACUCUGCACCGUGCUUGUACAAAACAUAAUAUGCAUAUUUCCAUCCAUGAGGGCCCCCAAAUGAUUGGAGUUUCAAGCCUCACAAAGCCUGAAUCUGUCACUAAGUAACACCUGGCACUUCCCUUUACCUGACAACUUGUUGGUCAUUCUUCAAGAUAUACAGAGAUGUAGCCAAAAGGGAUCCCCGGAGGGAGCUGAAGUCAGGGUUAAUCUCCACUGUGGCAGGCCUCAGGUGCCUAACAAUAGUCAAAAUGUUCCUUCUUCCCCAGACUGCACAGCAAGCUCCCCAAGGCCAAAUUUGGAUCCCACUUAUCUCUGUGUCUUCUACACCUGGCACAGUGCUUGCCAUACCAUAAGCUCUCAA